rnacentral:rRNA from 1 species
CGACCGGCGCACGGGUGAGUAACGCGUAUGCAACCUGCCCGUUUCAGCGGGAUAACCCGGAGAAAUCCGGCCUAAUACCGCAUGUGGCCGAGGGGAGGCAUCUUCUUUCGGCCAAAGGAGGCGACUCCGGAGACGGAUGGGCAUGCGUGACAUUAGCUAGUUGGCGGGGUAACGGCCCGCCAAGGCGACGAUGUCUAGGGGUUCUGAGAGGAAGGUCCCCCACACUGGUACUGAGACACGGACCAGACUCCUACGGGAGGCAGCAG